rnacentral:rRNA from 1 species
AUGAACGCUGGCGGCGUGCCUAAUACAUGCAAGUUCGAACGAGGUGCUUUUGUAGCAAAUACGAGAGUAUCCUAGUGGCGAACGGGUGAGUAACGCGUUUGGUGACCUACCCCAAAGUGUGGGAUAACAGUCCGAAAAGGAUUGCUAAUACCGCAUGUGGUCUUCGGAUUUAGAAACUGAUGACUAAAGGAGCAAUUCGCUUUGGGAGGGACCUGGCGUCCCAUCAGCUAGUUGGUGAGGGUAAUGGCUCACCAAGGCGACGACGGGUAGGGGGAACCUGAGAGGGUGGCCCCCCACAAUGGAAACUGAAACACGGUCCCAUACACCUACGGGUGGCAGCAGUAGGGAAUAUUGCUCAAUGGGCGAAAGCCUGAAGCAGCAACGCCGCGUGUGCGAUGAAGGCCUUCGGGUCGUAAAGCACUUUUUCUGCGAGAUGAGAAAGGACAGUAUCGUAGGAAUAAGUUCUCGGCUAACUACGGUUGCCAGCGGCCGCGGUAAAACGUAGGAGGCAAGCGUUUAUCCGGAUUCACUGGGCGUAAAGCGCGUGCAGGUGGCGCGGUAAGUUUGGGUGUGAAAUCUCCCGGCUCAACUGGGAGAGGUCAUUCAAUACUACCGUGCUUGAGAGCAGAAGAGGAAGAUGGAAUUCCCGGUGUAGUGGUGAAAUGCGUAGAUAUCGGGAGGAACACCCAGUGGCGAAGGCGAUCUUUCUGGUCUGUUUUCUGACACUCAGGACGCGACAGCUAGGGUAGUAAACGGGAUUAGAGACCCCGGUAAUCCUAGCCGUAAAACGAUGUGAACUUGGCGUUGGUGGGUUAAACUCCAUCAGUGUCCGUAGCAAACGCGAUAAGUUCACCGCCUGGGGACUACGGCCGCAAGGUUUAAAAACUCAAAGGAAUUGACGGGGGGCCCGCACAAGCAGCGGAGCGUGUGGUUUAAUUCGAUGCUACACGAAGAACCUUACCCAGGCUUGACGUUACAGGUGGUAGGGAUCCGAAAGGUGACCGACCCCGCAAGGGAGCCUGAAACAGGUGUUGCAUGGCUGGUCGUCAGCUCGUGUCGUGAGAUGUUCGGUUAAGUCCGCUAACGAGCGCAACCCUCGCUGCGUGUUACAAGUGUCACGCAGGACCGCCGGUAAUUAAAGCCGGAGGAAGGUGGGGAUGACGUCAAGUCAGCAUGGCCUUUAUGCCUGGGGGCUACACACACGCUACAAUGGGCAGUACAAUGGGUUUGCUAAGCCGCGAGGUGGAGCCAAUCCCCCCAAAAACUGUCCUCAGUUCAGAUUGCAGGCCUGCAACUCGCCUGCAUGAAGCCGGAGUUGCUAGUAAACGCGCGUUCAGCUAUAGUGCGUUGAAUACGUUUCUCGGGCCUUGUACACACCCGCCCGUCACGUCAUGGGAGCUGGUAACACCCUGAAGCCGGUAGCCUAAACCGCAAGGAGGGCGCCGGUCGAAGGUGGGGGCUGGUGACUGGGACG